rnacentral:rRNA from 1 species
UUCCGGUUGAUCCUGCCGGACCCGACCGCUAUCGGGGUAGGGCUAAGCCAUGGGAGUCGAACGCCCCGCCGCUGCGGGGCGUGGCGGACGGCUGAGUAACGCGUGGCUAACCUACCCUCGGGACGGGGAUAACUCCGGGAAACUGGAGCUAAUCCCCGAUAGGCGGGGAGGCCUGGAAUGGUUCCCCGCCGAAAGGCGCCGCCGGGGGUUAUCGCCGGCGGUGCGCCCGAGGAUGGGGCUGCGUCCCAUCACGGUAGUUGGCGGGGUAAUGGCCCGCCAAGCCUACGACGGGUAGGGCCGUGAGAGCGGGAGCCCCCAGAUGGGCACUGAGACAAGGGCCCAGGCCCUACGGGGCGCACCAGGCGCGAAACCUCCGCAAUGCGGGCAACCGUGACGGGGCUACCCCGAGUGCCCCCCUCGUGGGGGCUUUUCCCCGCUGUAGGUAGGCGGGGGAAUAAGCGGGGGGCAAGACUGGUGUCAGCCGCCGCGGUAAUACCAGCCCCGCGAGUGGUCGGGGUGCUUACUGGGCCUAAAGCGCCCGUAGCCGGCUCGACAAGUCCCCUCCUAAAGCCCCGGGCUCAACCCGGGGAGUGGAGGGGAUACUGUCGGGCUAGGGGGCGGGAGAGGCCGAGGGUACUCCCGGGGUAGGGGCGAAAUCCACUAAUCCCGGGAGGACCACCAGUGGCGAAGGCGCUCGGCUGGAACGCGCCCGACGGUGAGGGGCGAAAGCCGGGGGAGCGAACCGGAUUAGAUACCCGGGUAGUCCCGGCUGUAAACGAUGCGGGCUAGGUGUUGGGCGGGCGAGAGGGCCCGCCCAGUGCCGCAGGGAAGCCGUUAAGCCCGCCGCCUGGGGAGUACGGCCGCAAGGCUGAAACUUAAAGGAAUUGGCGGGGGAGCACCACAAGGGGUGGAGCCUGCGGCUUAAUUGGAUUCAACGCCGGA